AACGAACGCUGGCGGCGUGCCUAAUACAUGCAAGUUGAGCGCUGAAGGUUGGUACUUGUACCAACUGGAUGAGCAGCGAACGGGUGAGUAACGCGUGGGGAAUCUGCCUUUGAGCGGGGGACAACAUUUGGAAACGAAUGCUAAUACCGCAUAAAAACUUUAAACACAAGUUUUAAGUUUGAAAGAUGCAAUUGCAUCACUCAAAGAUGAUCCCGCGUUGUAUUAGCUAGUUGGUGAGGUAAAGGCUCACCAAGGCGAUGAUACAUAGCCGACCUGAGAGGGUGAUCGGCCACAUUGGGACUGAGACACGGCCCAAACUCCUACGGGAGGCAGCAGUAGUGAAUCUUCGGCAAUGGACGAAAGUCUGACCGAGCAACGCCGCGUGAGUGAAGAAGGUUUUCGGAUCGUAAAACUCGGUUGGUAGAGAAGAACGUUGGUGAGAGUGGAAAGCUCAUCAAGUGACGGUAACUACCCAGAAAGGGACGGCUAACUACGUG
rnacentral:rRNA from 1 species